AAUAAAAAGGGACCGAACGCUGAGCAGCCGUGCCGCGUGCAGGAUGACUGCCUUAUGGGUUGUAAACUGCUUUUAUACGGGAGAAAUAUGGGUUACGUGUAGCCUGAUGAGAGUACUGUAUGAAUAAGGAUCGGCUAACUCCGUGCCAGCAGCCGCGGUAAUACGGAGGAUCCGAGCGUUAUCCGGAAUUAUUGGGUUUAAAGGGUGCGUAGGCGGCUAUUUAAGUCAGCGGUGAAAUUUUGCAGCUUAACUGUAACAGUGCCGUUGAAACUGUUUAGCUAGGAUUUGGCUGCAGUGUGCGGAAUGUGUGGUGUAGCGGUGAAAUGCUUAGAUAUCACACAGAACACCAAUUGCGAAGGCAGCACACUAAGUCAAUAUUGACGCUGAGGCACGAAAGUGUGGGGAUCAAACAGGAUUAGAUACCCUGGUAGUCCACACUGUAAACGAUGAUAACUCGCUGCCGGCGAUACAUUGUCGGUGGCCAAGCGAAAGCAUUAAGUUAUCCACCUGGGGAGUACGACCGCAAGGUUGAAACUCAAAUGAAUUGACG
rnacentral:rRNA from 1 species